UACAGAGGUCCCAAGCGUUUGUUCGGAUUCACUGGGCGUAAAGGGUGCGCAGGUGGGUUGGCAAGUUCGAUGUGAAAUCCCCGGGCUUAACCUGGGAAUGGCAUUUGGGACUGCAAGGCUUGAGUGCGGCAGAGGAGACUGGAAUUCCUGGUGUAGCAGUGAAAUGCGUAGAUAUCAGGAGGAACACCGGGUGGCGAAGGCGGGUCUCUGGGCCGAUGACUGACGCUGAGGAGCGAAAGCGUGGGGAGCGAACAGG
rnacentral:rRNA from 1 species